rnacentral:rRNA from 1 species
GAUGAACGCUGGCGGCGUGCUUAACACAUGCAAGUCGAACGGAGCGCCGACGUCGAAGUUUUCGGACAGAGACGGAGGAGGCUUAGUGGCGGACGGGUGAGUAACGCGUGGGUAACCUGCCUCACACAGGGGGAUAACAGCCAGAAAUGGCUGCUAAUACCGCAUGAAAUGGCAGCCUCGCAUGAGGCGACCAUCAAAGAGCUAUCGGUGUGAGAUGGACCCGCGUCUGAUUAGCCAGUUGGCGGGGUAAAGGCCCACCAAAGCGACGAUCAGUAGCCGACCUGAGAGGGUGACCGGCCACAUUGGGACUGAGACACGGCCCAA